UCCAGCAACGCCGCGUGAGGGAUGACGGCCUUCGGGUUGUAAACCUCUUUCAGCGCAGACGAAGCGAAAGUGACGGUAUGCGCAGAAGAAGCACCGGCCAACUACGUGCCAGCAGCCGCGGUAAUACGUAGGGUGCGAGCGUUGUCCGGAAUUAUUGGGCGUAAAGGGCUCGUAGGCGGUUUGUUGCGUCGGGAGUGAAAACUCAGGGCUUAACCCUGAGCCUGCUUCCGAUACGGGCAGACUAGAGGUAUGCAGGGGAGAACGGAAUUCCUGGUGUAGCGGUGAAAUGCGCAGAUAUCAGGAGGAACACCGGUGGCGAAGGCGGUUCUCUGGGCAUUACCUGACGCUGAGGAGCGAAAGUGUGGGGAGCGAACAGGAUUAGAUACCCUGGUAGUCCACACCGUAAACGUUGGGCGCUAGGUGUGGGACUCAUUCCACGAGUUCCGUGCCGCAGCUAACGCAUUAAGCGCCCCGCCUGGGGAGUACGGCCGCAAGGCUAAAACUCAAAGGAAUUGACGGGGGCCCGCACAAGCGGCGGAGCAUGCGGAUUAAUUCGAUGCAACGCGAAGAACCUUACCUAGGUUUGACAUAUACGAGAAGCCUCUGGAGACAGAGGUCUCUUUGGAC
rnacentral:rRNA from 1 species